rnacentral:misc_RNA from 1 species
CGGAAACAGUCGCGCCCCGCAUUCCGACAGGGAAUGCCCGCCCCAACCGUGAACUCCUGCCCCGACCCGCCCAUUGCCAUUCCUAUGUGAAGUGUAGACUAGAAAGCCAAUGACGAAGUUCCAAAAAUAUUGUGAUCAGACGAUGUUAUCGUCGCAGGGAGCUCUGGUUACUCUUUUUUUCCUUCUCGCUCCUCACAAAGAACGACCAAUUAAUUUUAAAGUUGAUUUUCUAACAGGUGAGAGAUGAAAAGAUCAUUACUUUACAAAUUUUUCCUUUAAUAUAUAGAUGCAAAAUUAACUUCAAACUCAAACGUGAUGUUCUGCUAAUAUUAUACAUUUUCAUUUAUUUAUAUGAAUUUCAAACUCAAUGAGGGUUUAAUGGGUGCAAUUUUUUCACCAUUGUAUUGGAUUCUCUUUUAAAUUAUGUUAGUGGGUUUAAGAAAUCCGGGGUUUUUUAAUUCCUCCUUGUUUGGUUUUUAUUUUGUCAUUUUAGGUAAGGCUUGAAUAAAAACUCUGAGAUGGUUAUGCUGAGAUUUUCCUGUAUGAGAGUUUUCUGAUAGAGGUGUUGUAUGCUACAUUUUGGAGUGGCAUGAAUAUCUGAGGUUUUCUGGAGAAUUGAGGCAUGUUUCAUUCAAUUUUGGGUUCUGAGAUAUGCAAACUAAAGUUUGGAGAUGGGUUUUAGGUUUAAUAUACAUAGUUGCAGUUGCAACUAUCUGGAUAGCUGCUAGUUUUGUGGUUCAAUCUGUUGUAGAUUCUGGGGUUUCACCAUUUCUCAUUACAUAUAUUUGCAACUCAUUGUUUGUGAUUUAUAUUCCCUGACUUGAAAUUGUACGCUGUUUGGAGGAUUCUUGUGGAAGUUUGUUUUUCUGGAGGAAUAAAAAGAGUAGUCCUUUACAAGAAUUGGGAGACUCAGAGCAGGUCAUUCUACUAGGAGAGAUUGAGGUGCAAGAGUUGAUGGUUUGAAGCCAUCCGUUCCCUUGGAAGAGGGAGGAAGUAGUCCUCAUGGAGAUGGUGUUGGUUCGCCAGUGGAAUUUACCUCAUAUUCAAUUGAAAGAGUCUUACCUUUAGAAGAAGCUAACAAAGGAGUUGAUGCCAAAGGACGAUGGACAUGCACUAGAGUGACAAAGGUCAGCUUGCUAAUCUCCCAGUUUUGGUAUUUUGCACAGCUGACUUUCAAUCUGUCAUUGAACUAUUCUACUGUGACGUCAAACACCAUUUUAAGCACUGCAUCCAGCCUUUUCACUUUUUUGGGUGAAAAGUUCACUUGGGUGAAGCUUGUAAGUGUUCUCCUCUGCAUGGCUGGAACUAUAAUUGUCAGCUUGGGAGACUCAAAAACUGGUUUAAGUCCAGUUGCUUCAAACGCUCUUCCUGGAGACUUUCUUGCUCUCAUCUCAGCUGGGCUGUAUGCAGUGUACUUUGCACUUAUUCACAUGAAAUUGCCUGAUGAUGAUGAUGAUAGAAAAAGUGGUUAGAUUUCUUGGUCUUUUCAAUCUCUUCAUUUUCCUACCCAUUGCCCUUGUACUGAAUUUCACCAUGUUAGAGCCUUGUGAUAUGGAAGCAGUUUGGUCUAAUCAUUGGUAAAGGUUUGUACGUCACUGGUUCCUUCUUGACAUUUGAAGGUUUAGCUACAUUCUUUCAACUUUGUGCUGUCAUUUGUGUCUUGAGAUUAUUCGAUGAUACAUAUGAAUCCAAAUACAUAAAUAGUCCAUGAAAUGUCUAGGAAAAAUUCAUUGCACACAUCACUUUCUAUUUCCACACUUUAUAGUGAUUAACAAGUCAAGAAGAGGCAAGAUCUGAUUCAAGGCCUGGUUAAGGGUGACAAUUUUGUUUAUCUUUAUGAGCGAUGUCCCUGAAUAUAGCAUGUGUACGAAUGAUAGUAAAACUUGAAGAACAGCUACUGCUUCAGCAAUUAGCAUCCAACAUUGUUUCUUAUUUCAUUUCCUUUUUCCAUCUUAAACAGUUUGUUAGUUAAUGUGUUGAGUGACUAUUUAUGGGCAAAGGCUCUUAUCUUGAUAACCACUACAGUUGCAACGGCCGAUCUUACAGUUCAGGUCCCAUUGGCAGCUAUCGUGGAUUCAGUAAUGCCACUCGCCUCAUGGACUACCUUGGAGCUGUAGCUGUGUGAUGAUUGGGUUUUCUGGCAUCAACAUUCCUUCCGGUGCUAAUAGCCAAUCAAAAGAAGCCAUUGCUGAAUCAGAAAAUGAAAAUAUUAGGUCAACUCAUCAAGAUGAGCCACCACCCGUGCAAGGCAUUUCCUAGCAUAAUAUUGCUGGUUCUGUUAUAUUGGAUAAAUUUCAAUGAUCGUCUUUAAACUUUUAAGGGUUGUAAGAGAGUCGUCCUAAAUUUAAAAAUAUAACAUAAAACUCUUUGAAUUUUAAAAUUUUAUACAGUAAAAUUCUUUCAACUUCCAAUAGUUGGUUUAUAAGUAAAAUGUUG